UCUGACCUCUCUUCACACCCUCAAACGGCACGCACUUCAAGGAUCUGUCUUCGUUUACUUGCUCAACCUUCACGAACUUUUCGCACUUCCCUUCUCCUCUCAGACUUUCUUUACUUUGUUUUUCUUUUCUCUCACAUUUUCCUUCAUUUUCUCUUCAUCCAAACAUGAACUCUUCUUCAACCUUAUUAACUAAUAUUUCGUUUUCUUGCUUUGCAAGUCAAUUCAAAGAGCUUAGUACCAAUCGUGGAAAUUUGAUUCAACUAAGGCUUAAAAAGAACAGUGAAGCGAAAUUUUUUGUUAAAUGCAAUCAAGUCUCCGAUUCGGUUCUCUAUUCCUCUCCGCCGCAGAGAUUCAACCUUCCAAGACCUAAUUUAUCGGUUUCCCGCGCGGGGAUGACAUACGAGGUGGUUGUUGAAAAGCUUAAGAGGCUUGUUUUGGAAUUUGAGUCUCUAACGGAGCCGAUAGAUCGAGUUAAGCGGCUACUGCACUACGCAGCGACGUUGCCUAGGUUCGACGAGUCGGCUAUGGUGGAGGCAAAUCGAGUCACGGGGUGUACGACUCAGGUGUGGCUGGAGGGGAGAUUGGACGAGUGCGGGAGAGUGAGGUUUUGCGCGGACAGCGAUUCAGAGAUUACGAAAGGGUUCAUUUCAUGUCUGAUUUGGAUAUUGGACGGUGCGGAGCCGGAAGAGGUGUUGAUGGUGAAGGCGGAGGAUUUGGGUGCUAUGAAUGUGGGACUCCACGGGAAGGCCCAAUCGAGGGUGAACACGUGGCGCAAUGUGUUGAUUAGUAUGCAGAAGAGGACUAUGGUUUUGGUAGCCAAGAAGGAGAUAGAGUCGCGGACUUCCGUCUCUUGUUGUUAUCGCUGACGAUAUUUGGUGCUGAUGGAAGAUUCGUUGAGAUACAGGAGUCAAGAAUAUGGCAAAAGCUCGAUGCCAAUUUAUCACGGUCCUAGCCAUGGAAAUAGAAUCUAGCCUCACAAAGGUUCUUUCUGGGAUUCAUAUUUAUGUAACGGGCUUGAUUGGUUGCAAACAUAGAACAUUUAUGCAGCUGCCAUUUGCAAACGAAGAUUACCUCUGAACAAGAGAUCGUCAGAGAUGCGUUCAAGCACACAAUAAUGAUGAAAUAUGAUUGCAACAUAUAUACUUCGAACAAUUGUUGUAUAGAUUGAAAGAUGCAUGCCUAUCAAUGUAAGAAUGUAUAAUUGCUCAUUAAUUCCUCUCCCUAGCGGUGUAAUACCCAGGCAGAAUUAUUUGACUCCUAGAUCAUGAAACUUCAUAUGAGAUUGUAAAAUAGUUGAAUGAUUGUUCCUGUUAA